rnacentral:misc_RNA from 2 species
CUAAGGAAUAUUACGGAAACUACACAGUUUGUAACUUGUCUUUGUUCAGUUUUGAGAGGUCUACUCUCAAACAAUUUUGUUCAUUGAAAACUGGAUACUUGAAGAAAAAAAUCAAAACAAACCGAGAACACCGCGUUGAAUGAGUUUUUUAAUAAGUUCAAUUGCUUAUUUUCUUGAGUAAGCUUCUAUCGCUAGAAGAACUGCUCAAAACCAGACCGAAAGGUCUUAUAA